UCUUUGGACACGGGGUGCGCCUCGGUGGCGCUGAGAUCACACCCGUGGAACCUGAUCUAGUUCGUACUGGCGAAGGGAUGUCCGAGAUGACCACU
rfam:Propionibacterium acnes JCM 18916 DNA, contig: contig00007.